rnacentral:ncRNA from 1 species
UGAGAUAGAGGUUGCGCGGGUCAUCAGUACACUGCCGGAUGCAGCGGCUGCAGGAGAUGUCAGUGGAAAGGGAGACGCGCCGAAGGAGCCGCCCGGCCGCAGGCGCGGGUCCUGGGGCCGGGCCGAACAGGUCCGGAACUGUCAUCGGCAGAUGGAGCGCUAUCCGG